rnacentral:rRNA from 1 species
AUUGAACGCUGGCGGCAGGCCUAACACAUGCAAGUCGAACGAGUGGCGGACGGGUGAGUAAUGUCUGGGAAACUGCCCGAUGGAGGGGGAUAACUACUGGAAACGGUAGCUAAUACCGCAUACAAUCGGAUGUGCCCAGAUGGGAUUAGCUAGUAGGUGGGGUAACGGCUCAACUAGGCGACGAUCCCUAGCUGGUCUGAGAGGAUGACGCGCCAUACUGGAACUGAUACACGGGCCAGACUCCUACGGGAGGCAGCAGUGGGGAAUAUGUGACAAUGGUCGCAAGCCUGAUGCCGCCAUGCCGCGUGUAUGAAGAAGGCCUUCGGGUUGUAAAGGACUUUCAGCGAGGAGUCGUUACUCGCAGAAGAAGCAACGGCUAACUCCGUGCCAGCAGCCGCGGUAAUUC